CACAUAUACCACGGGGGGAUUCGAUCGAUCAAAAAGAGGAGAGACCAUCACAGUAGAGAGGCGUAGGACGUGUGAGUCGUACUUGUUCAACUUUAUACAAGUUUAAGUGUCAAUUUGUGCACACGGAGGUCAUUAAUUUGAGGGCAAAAACAAAUUCUCAUAUAUACAGCACAUAUCUCACAUAUACCACGGGGGGAUUCGAUCGAUCAAAAAGAGGAGAGACCAUCACAGUAGAGAGGGGGAGACACAGGAGCUCCAUUUUUGUAUUUUUCUCACAGUAACAACGCACACCACGAUCCAUCAUCUUCCAUUCUUUUUACAAUUCACCACACAGAAGGCAAUACACAAACGUUCCUCACACACACGCACGCAGUAGGGGCCGGCGGUGAUCGGAAAACAAGAAAUUGGGGGUUGAUUUAGGGAGAGGAAGAUGAAGAAAACAGAGUAGCAAAAACAGAGUGAAAUCGGGAUUUGCGGAACAGUGAUCGGAGAGGCGCCGUAAAACCCAUUAAAACCGGCGACAGAUCCUCGCUGUAAUCGACCUAUAUCCGCUGGAAAACAAGAGCAGCUCCGUUCUCUUCGAUUCUCGUCGGGAAACGACGCAAUCAGUCAAUCCAGCGCCAAAACAGAUCGAAAAAAAUGAUCGGGGUUUAGGUACUAAUCGAAUUUGGGUUGACUAUUUCGGAUUCACAGAUUCCGAUUUGAGGUUCCGAUGAGGUCCAGUUCGUGAGCUCCGGUCAGCUGCUCGGUUUGAAAUCAAAAGUGCGAUACACUCAAUUUAAGACUCCCUAUUUUCUGUCACAUGCAUAAGUAAGAAAGUAAGAGAUAUGGCUUAUGCUGCAAUUACUUGUCUUAUGAGAACCAUACACCAAUCAAUGGAGCUUACUGCAUGUGAUUUGCAACUGUUUUAUGAAAAGCUCGAACGUUUGAGAGCUAUUCUUGAGAAACCAUGGAAAGCAACAGCCGAUGUCGAGGCAUUAACAAGCUUGGAAGCUGAAAUCACAGAACUAGCAUACAGUGCAGAGGAUAUGAGUGACUUGGAAUCAAGUAAAGUUUUUUUAGCACAAAAUGUGGAGGAAAGAAGCAGAUCUAUGUGGGAGCUCUUUUUCCUCUUGGAACAAGCACUAGAAUGCAUUGAUUCCACCAUGAAACAGUGGAUGGCAACAUCGUACAGCAUGAAAGAUCUAAAAGUACAACCGUACUCUCUUGCCGGUUUAUCUGAACAUGCUGUAGAGCAGCCCCAGAAUAUGAUGGUUGGCUAUGAAACUGAAUUCGAGAUGAUGCUAGAUCAACUUACUAGAGGAGAAAGGGAACUAGAAGUUGUCUCAAUUGUAGGUAUGGGAGGCAUUGGCAAGACAACUUUGGCGACAAAACUCUACUGCCAUCCGCACAUCAUGUCUCACUUUGACAUUCUUGCAAAAGCUACUGUUUCGCAAGAGCAUUGCGUGAGAAAUAUACUCCUAGCCCUUCUUUCUACGACAAGUGCUGAACCUGAUGAUGAACUAAGAGAUCGACUGCAAAAGCUUCUUAAGAGAAAGAGAUACUUGGUAGUCAUUGAUGACAUAUGGACUACAGAAGCUUGGGAUGAUAUCAAACUAUGUUUCCCAGACUGUAAUAAUGGAAGCCGAAUAAUCUUGACUACUCGGAAUGUGGAAGUGACUGAAUAUGCUAACUCAGGUAAGCCUCCGUAUCACAUGCGCCUCAUGAAUUUUGAUGAAAGUUGGAGUUUAUUGUAUGAAAAGGUCUUUGCGAAAGACUCUUUUCCCCAUGAAUUUGGACAGCUUGGGAAACAAAUUGCAUUUAAAUGCGGAGGAUUGCCUCUAUCAAUUGUUGUGAUCGGUGGGCUUCUUUCCAAAAUAGGCAAAUCAUUGGGUGACUGGCAAAUUGUUGCCAGUAAUGUAAGUUCAACGGUAAGCACAGAUGUUGAUGUCCAAUGCAUGAAGGUGCUGGCUUUGAGUUACCAUUACUUGCCUUCUCACCUAAAACCAUGCUUUUUAUAUUUUGCAAUUUUCUCAGAAGAUCAACUGAUAUUUGUAGAUAAAGUUGUGCAGUUAUGGGUUGCAGAGGGAUUUUUGAAGGUAGAAGAGAUGAAAUGCAUAGAAGAGGUGGCAGAAACAUGUCUAAACCAACUUAUAGAUAGAAGUUUAAUUUCCACCUGCGAAUAUUCGAGAUUUGGAAAAAUUGAGAGUUGUGGAAUGCAUGAUGUGACCCGUGAAUUCUGCUUGAGAGAAGCUCAAAACAUGAAUUUUGUGAAUGAUCUCAGAGGAAAGAGUGAACAAAAUCCAUGUAAGCAGUCCAUGCCGUGUUCCUCCAAGAGUCGAGGUCGGAUCAGUAUCCAUAACGUGGAAGAAUUUGUUAGGUGUCAUAAUAGUGAGGCAUAUUCCUUUAUAUGCUUUGGUAGAUUCCAAUGUCGUGUGACAGAGUUUCCUUUCAAGCUAGUCAGAGUACUACAUCUUGCUUUCCGUAGCUGUAUAACUUUUCCCAGUGAAAUGCUUCAUCUCAUUCACUUGAGACACCUAUCUUUGAGCCUUUCUUCUUCCUUUGAGCAGUAUCGAGAGAUUUCCCCAAUUAUAAUAGACAUUCCUACAUCUAUAUCAUGCUUAUUUUAUCUGCAAACUUUUAUACUUAACCUAUCUGGUGUAGGUUUGCAAUAUCCAAUCAUGUUACCAUUGGAAAUUUUGACGAUGCCGCAGUUGAGGCACCUCCAUUUGGAUUGGAACUACUUGCGGAGUCAUGAGCCUACAGAGAAAAGUCUGGUUUUGAAAAAUUUGCAAUGUUUCUCUGGAUUGAAUCCUCGGUAUUGUACUGGGUCUUUCUUUAGACUAUUUCCCAAUUUAAAGAAGUUGGGAGUACGUGGCGUCCCAGAAGACUUUAGUAGUUGCAAGGAUAUGUAUGAUUUUAGCAUGUUAGAUCAGAUCGAGGAAUUGGAAUUUCUUGUUAAUGCUCAAAAUUAUUCUUGCUUUCUGGAGAGCACUACUCCUUCAGGUUCUCCUCCACAAUAUCUUCUGCGGUCAUAUCCUGCAGAUGAUGUUCCGCUUUUGCUCCUACCUCCUUCAGAUGCUUUUCCACAAAACCUUAAGAGUUUAGCUCUUAGCGGACAAUUCUUCCUCCCAUGGAAGGAUUUGAGCAUUGUUGGUAAAAUUCCCAAACUCGAGUCCCUUAAACUAUCAUAUAAUGCCUGCGAGGGCGUUGAGUGGGAAGUAGCUGAUGAAGGUUUUCCUCGCUUGAAGUUCUUGCAACUUAACUAUUUGGGAAUUCGGUACUGGAGAGCCAAUAGCGAUCACUUUCCAUGCCUUGAACGAUUAUUCCUUUAUAGUUGCUGGAAUUUGGACUCAAUCCCUCAUGACUUUGUAGAUAUAACCACACUUGCUCUUAUAGACAUAAGCUACUGUCAAGAAUCUGUUGGGAAUUCCGCAAGGCAGAUUCAACAGGACAUUCAAGAUAACUAUGGAUGUUCUUUUGAGGUCCAUACGAGGCCCGUUCCUCCUGCUGAUUGUCUGCUAAGUCCCAUUGGACUUCCUUUACGCCCUGGACAACCAUUGUGCAUAUUCUAUUGCAGAUAUGGGAUCUGCAAAUUUGGCUCAAGUUGCAAGUUUGAUCACCCAAUGACGGUUCAGCCUCCAUUGGGUUCAUUAUUAGAAACCAGUGCAUUUAAUUCAGCAAGGAAUAUUCAACUGGACAUUCAAGGAUGUUCUGUUGGGGUCCCUACGAGGCCCGUUCUUCCUGCUGAUUGUCUGCUAAGUCCCAUUGAACUUCCUUUACAUCCUGGACAACCGUUGUGUAUGUUCUAUUCCAGAUAUGGGACCUGCAAUUUUGGCUCAAGUUGCAAGUUUGAUCACCCAAUUUUUGUUGGUGAACAUACAUGGGGUUCAUAAUUAGGAACCAGUGCAUUGAACUUGACUUCAGAAGGGUUCGUUGAAGCAGUUUCAACGAAGCCCAGGCGACUGUCACUCCCAGAAACAAGAAAGAUGCCGUCUGGUGAUAAUAACACUGAUAUUUUCCCCCGAUUACCAGUCACCAUCAUCAUUUUGUAUGUACAAAUUCUUUGGAAAAUGCAUUUCAGUUGGUAGGUUAGAACUGGAUAUCUGUAUCAUCAAGACGCGUGAAUACAUAUUGCAACAAUCGAGUGAAAAGAUGCCUUCAGAGUCCUAUUGAAGCAGCUUUCCAGAAAUUUCACAACUGAUUCUGAGAUACGUAACAAUUUAUGACUAUUUGUAACAUUGUUUGCUUUUCUUGGAGUCUUCAAUCUACCCUGCGAAGGACGAAAGACUAACUCCAGUGUCACUAGAGAAAUUGCACCAACUUACUGAAAACUUCACAAAGGAAGUAACAGACGGCAAAAUUGUGCGAAAGGUGUGAUAUCUAAGUCAUUUCUCUUUUCACGAUGUUAUUUACCAGAGCAUCGUUAGCAUGAUGGACAGCUCACAGAUCAUGAACUAAUAGUGAAUAUUGUACAAGUUAAUGUAACUAUGUAUUGCUGUAUAUAAGUGUAAUUGUCAAGAUUUGAUUUAGCAACCAGAGAGAAUAUAUAUUGUGAUAGAAUAGCUGUAUUGGUGAGAUAACAUAGCGGAUUUAGAGGGAUAGAAUAGCUGAUCUUUAGUGAUAGGAACGACGGAUCUUUAGGAAUGUAAUAUUUGAAUACUUUCUAUUUAAUGACAAGACCCUCAAUAUUGAGAGGCAUUCGACAGAAAUUUGGCAUA